rnacentral:rRNA from 1 species
AUUAAACGCUGGCGGCAUGCCUUACACAUGCAAGUCGAACGGCAGCACGGGGGCAACCCUGGUGGCGAGUGGCGAACGGGUGAGUAAAGCAUCGGAACGUGCCCUGGAGUGGGGGAGUAACGUAGCGAAAGUUACGCUAAUACCGCAUAUUCUGUGAGCAGGAAAGCAGGGGAUCGCAAGACCUUGCGCUCUGGGAGCGGCCGAUGUCGGAUUAGCUAGUUGGUGGGGUAAAGGCCUACCAAGGCGACGAUCCGUAGCGGGUCUGAGAGGAUGAUCCGCCACACUGGGACUGAGACACGGCCCAGACUCCUACGGGAGGCAGCAGUGGGGAAUUUUGGACAAUGGGCGAAAGCCUGAUCCAGCCAUGCCGCGUGAGUGAAGAAGGCCUUCGGUUGUAAAGCUCUUUCGGUGGGGAAGAAAAAACCGGAGUGUAUCCGGUCUUGACGGUACCCUGUUAGAAAGCACCGGCUAACUCCGUGCCAGCAGCCGCGGU